AAAGAAAAGCGUAUUUGAUUGAUAGUUCACUAUACAUUUGAUAUGUCUACCUACAUUUUGGUCACUGGAGAAGACCUCAAACAAGGAUAAUCCAGAUCUUAUUAGAGGCUGCAGGUUUAAGGUUUGGGAAUCUUCUGAAUUCCCCCGGAAACGAGCAAGAGAGUCAUUCCCAGCAGGUAAUAUCAGAACUGAAGCUCUGGUCUUAG